rnacentral:rRNA from 1 species
GGCGGGACACGUGGUAUCCUGUCUGAAUAUGGGGGGACCAUCCUCCAAGGCUAAAUACUCCUGACUGACCGAUAGUGAACCAGUACCGUGAGGGAAAGGCGAAAAGAACCCCGGCGAGGGGAGUGAAAAAGAACCUGAAACCGUGUACGUACAAGCAGUGGGAGCCUCUUUAUGGGGUGACUGCGUACCUUUUGUAUAAUGGGUCAGCGACUUAUAUUCUGUAGCAAGGUUAACCGUAUAGGGGAGCCGAAGGGAAACCGAGUCUUAACUGGGCGUUAAGUUGCAGGGUAUAGACCCGAAACCCGGUGAUCUAGCCAUGGGCAGGUUGAAGGUUGGGUAACACUAACUGGAGGACCGAACCGACUAAUGUUGAAAAAUUAGCGGAUGACCUGUGGCUGGGGGUGAAAGGCCAAUCAAACCGGGAGAUAGCUGGUUCUCCCCGAAAGCUAUUUAGGUAGCGCCUCGUGAACUCAUCUUCGGGGGUAGAGCACUGUUUCGGCUAGGGGGCCAUCCCGGCUUACCAACCCGAUGCAAACUACGAAUACCGAAGAAUGUUAUCACGGGAGACACACGGCGGGUGCUAACGUCCGUCGUGAAGAGGGAAACAACCCAGACCGCCAGCUAAGGUCCCAAAGUCAUGGUUAAGUGGGAAACGAUGUGGGAAGGCACAGACAGCCAGGAUGUUGGCUUAGAAGCAGCCAUCAUUUAAAGAAAGCGUAAUAGCUCACUGGUCGAGUCGGCCUGCGCGGAAGAUGUAACGGGGCUAAACCAUGCACCGAAGCUGCGGCAGCGACGCUU